UUAUUCCAUGGAAAACAUGUGUUUUAAAUAAUUUAUUUCUAUGGAUUUGAAUGUGGGUUUUGAUAUAGUUGAUCCUUGUAUCGUUUUUCCAUGAUUUUUAUGAGUUAUUCAUGCUUGGAAAUUUAUGUUUUGAACUAAUGGGGUGCAUGGGUGUGGGUAUUGGAAUGGGGGUCGAGGCAUUCCCCCAAAUUGAUGUUUUGAACUUGGAGUUGGUUUGAAAAAUUGUGUUCACUCAACCUACGCGUGUAAAUGGCUUGGAUUAUGGAUUUUGUCACACGAUUUGACUUACCCACUUAGACUGUUGCAUUGCAUAGUUGGAUAAACAAUGAAUGUGAGUUUUUUAAGGCAUUAAUGGCUAUGUUUUGGUUGAUGAAGGGUUCAAAGGCAAUUCUACUUUUCCUGCGCAACGUUAGGUAGAUCGGCUCGAUUUGUCGGUCGUUUGUGGUGAAAUGGAACCGACUGUUCUACUCCUCCUACAUGGUGAUUUACUCAGGAUUCAACAUUUGGAUUGAAGUGGUGAGCUUCCAUCCUUUAGAAUGCUCAAUUUCAUAUUAUGCAUAUUUUUAGGCACUUGAUUUUAUUUUUGAUAUUGGUUUUGGCCAUGGUUGGGGGCAUGUCCCAAUCAAAUUUUAUUACUCCUUUGGUUAGAGUCUUUGUGGUAUUACUAUAGGUUAGAAUGGACGAGAUCGAUAUAUAUGUCAACCUUAGCAUUGGUAUUGGUAUUGGUAUUGAAGCUUGCAUCAUCA